rnacentral:rRNA from 1 species
GAUCCAUGGCUCAGGAUGAACGCUAGCUACAGGCUUAACACAUGCAAGUCGAGGGGCAGCAUGGUCUUAGCUUGCUAAGGCCGAUGGCGACCGGCGCACGGGUGAGUAACACGUAUCCAACCUGCCGUCUACUCUUGGACAGCCUUCUGAAAGGAAGAUUAAUACAAGAUGGCAUCAUGAGUCCGCAUGUUCACAUGAUUAAAGGUAUUCCGGUAGACGAUGGGG